rnacentral:rRNA from 1 species
UACGGAGGGUGCAAGCGUUAUCCGGAUUCACUGGGCUUAAAGGGUGCGUAGGCGGGCCGGUAAGUCCGUGGUGAAAUCUCUAGGGCUCAACCCAGAAACUGCUUUACAUACUGGCGAGCUGGAGUGAUGAAGAGGUUUGUGGAAUUCCUGGUGUAGCGGUGAAAUGCGUUGAUAUCAGGAGGAACACCCAUGGCGAAGGCAGCAAACUGGUCAGAAACUGACGCUGAGGCGCGAAAGCGUGGGUAGCAAACAGG